GGGAAUUCUGUAAACAAUAGCUCUCAGCACCCAUAACACACUACACCUCCCAGAAUUCUUGGGAGGAAGCCAUGGCUAUUUAAAGUGGUAUGGUUCUGCUUUAAAUGUAUGGUGAGAAUGUGAACAAAGUCGGGUCAUCAGCCACCUGGUUCAGUAUUGUCUACAAUAGCAGCAGUUCCAGAGUUUCAGACAAGAGCCUUUUCCAGGCCUACUUGGAGAUUCCAGGGGUUACACCUGGGAUCUAUUUUAUGCAAAGCAUGUGCUCUACCACUGAGCUACAGUCCUGCAUAAAGGCAAGAAAGGGGGAAAGGGUAUCAUUUUCUUGAUGUUGUUUCUGUCCAGCAUCAGGCUUCCCAUCUAAUGAUUUCUCUGUUGGUUAUCCCCUCAGCUUGCAGGACAAAACCAGGUGCGUCUUUUUCAAAGCGCUCGUUUUCAAUAGGCCUAUAAUAAGCUCCACUGAAGCUUUGCUUGUCUCAGGAAGAAACCCUGCCAUCAGGCUUUUCAAAUUUCAUUUGGCCCUUUGCUGCAGAGAGUUUAUAACCAUAGUGGACCUCAUUACACCGGCAUGGGAUAAAUUGCUGUUUGCUUCCAUUUUACAGCUGUGGAGUGAGCAGUGUCUCCUAAGCUUACUUAGUCAGAGGUAAGCCCUACUGAUUUUACUAGACUUCCUCUCUAAUAAGCAUGCUUAGAAAAACCUUCAGAAGAAUCCUUCGUUUCAAGCUCUUAACACACAAAGCUGCAGUUAUUACUUCAAUGUUUGAAGUAUAAUCAGCUGCCAUUAAAUCAUCCCUCACCAUUGAUCUCUAACCAAUAAUCCAACAGUGGGCAUGAAGUUGGAGAGCCUACUGAUUCUUGUCUAUUGAUGUAGAGUGGUUUGGGACCAGACUGGAAGACACACCACCCCUGGCCCAUUCCCUCAUGUGUGAAGAAGCGUAUGUGUAAAGCUGGCCUACUCCACUGGCCUCGGACAUGCACACAGGAAUGGACCAUUCAAAUGUUGCACAUCACCUACACUUCAAUGUGCCUUGGCCAAAAAUGAGUGGUUGAGGUAGCAUUUUAAUGUUUAACAUAAACAUAACAUUUAAUGUGGUUUUCACCUAUGCACCUUGAACUGUACACACUGUGGUGAUGUAGUGCUGGCUUGCGGGAGUAUGAGGGCUUCUUCAGUUGAAGAGAUGUAGUGAUUUAGUGUGGAGUUCCUUUUUUAAAAAUAUUUUAUUAAGGAUUUUCUUGUUUUACAGAAGUGUAGUGCCUCGUAUUUUUUCCCCCAUGUAACAUAUUUACAAAUCCGUUUCAUUUGUUGAGGCAUUAGGGGGAGAAGAAAAAAAAAGAAAAAAGAAAGGGGGGUGGAGAGAGGGAAGAUGGAUGGGGGUGGGGUCGGGUGGCGGUGUUUCUAUUAUGUUUAAUGUAUGUAGAGUUUGGUGUCAGCGUUGCUUGUGUUGUUCACUUGUGUUCCUUUGGUGGUGAGAGAGGUUGGGGUUGGCCUAGGGUGUGAUUGUUUGCUUGUGAUUGGCUGUGGUGAUCUUUAUUUUCGUGUGUGAAUGAGGUGGGUGGGUGUUUUGGAUCAGGUUAGCCAUAUUGAUUUGUAUGCUGUUGGUGGAUUAUUGUCAUUGUCCUGUUGGGCUGUGUAUGUGAUAAAGGGGAGCCAUACCAGGGUGAAGGCGUCUUCUUCUGUUUGUCCCCGUGUCAGUUUCAGUUUAUUAGUUAAUUUUCUAGUAGGGCUGUUUCCCAUACUAUUUGGUACCAUUGGUCCAUGCUUACUCCUGACAGGUCUCUCCGGUGUCUGGUUAUGGUGUUUCUGGCUGCUGAGAGCAGGUGGGUUAUGAGUUCUUUGUGGUGUAAAUGGACAUUGUUGUCUUGGAAGAUGUUUAGUAGGGCCAAUUCUGGGGUGAUGUCUAUUACUUGCUUAGUUAUUUUACAUAUUUCUUGUAUGGCUGUUGUCCAGAAUGUGUGGAGUUUCUUUUAAGUCUUCUUUGAAGACAGCUGAGAGUAACAGGAAGCUCAAGGGAGCUGGGUAUAUAAAAAAGAUGGGUUGUAACAAUGGGGAACCACUAGGCCUAGGCCUAGUUAUUAAGUUUGCUAUGAUUGUUACUUCUUGGUUUAGAGUUAAUUAUUUGUGAUUUUCUUGGACAUAGCAUAUACACAGGAACCAUUUGGACAUUCCGUACCCACAUGUGCAGAAAGGACAACCAGAGGCUAGGCUGGUGGACUUGGUGGGGAGGAGUAAGGCCCUUUCACUCCCCUACACUCAGUGGAUUGGACUGGAGUCCAAUCCAGUCCAUUGUGAUCUCAUUCUAAAAAAAUCAGACAAUGAGUAAAGGCCUAUGAAGAAAUAUGCAUCUUGCAGAAUUAAUAAUCAUACAUGGGAAAACAGAAACACCCAGUCUUUGUUGCUGAACUCAGUGCAGUGGCAAAUCAUUUGUGUUUAUUUAUGCAUAAAACUGGAAGGAGGUUUUUCAACCUUCAAAUCUUUCCUUGUCAUUUUAUGCCCCUGCUGUUAAAUUUUUUGCUAUGUUAAUGUCAUCCUGGGCUGGUAAUAUUUAUUGCACCUAAAUCAAUGUUGGGACACCCAGAAUACAGAGGGAUCAAAUCUACUUAUUUCAAAUACAGUUUUAUGAUGGUUGAAGCUGACUUUAUGAAAGUUGAUAAAUUUCAUCUUGUAGGUUUCAAUUUCUCAUUCCCAACAGAGAUAUGGGGAGAAUACAUUGAUACCGCAUUUCAAAUUGGCUAGAUCAGAAGGAACAGCAGCUAAAAUCCAUUACAACCCAAUUACAUCCAUCAGCUGAAGCUGUGUGCAUUCACUCGUGAACAUCAGCAUUUAAUCCAUAAAGAGGAACUAAUGAGAAAUUUGAAAAUGGAAUCCACGCAUCAGUAACUUUGGAGAGAUUUUGCUGGGAUUAAUGAACUGCCAGAACAUCGUCAACACACUGAAAAAACUAUUCUCUCUAGGUUUGUUUACUGACCAAAACUUAAGAAAGGAUUUUGUUUCUUUUUCCCUGCUCAACACAUUUAUACCUUGACAUUUUUCUUUUUCUUUCCCUCCUCCUUAGUUUUUCUCCUUCCUUCCUUCCUUCCUUCCUUCCUUCCUUCCUUCCUUCCUUCCCUCUCCCCCUCUCUUUUCUUCCUCUCUUCCUCCCCAUUUUACAAAAUCCUGGUUAUCAGCAAGCAAGCAAGAAAAAGAUAAAAUGAGGCUCCAAUUCAGAAGCAGAUAUUUGUCUUCUGAUAACACUCUCCCACCGCACAAAUAAACCUGUGGAUACCUGCAUGACUAUCCCAUGUUGCUCCUUCAGCUUACAGCCAUUUACUAGCAGGUGGUUAGCGUGUCUACCUGUAAUGUUACAGUCUGCUGGCGGGUGGGUGGGCAGCUAGAAUAAAAGUGACUGAAGCAAAGUGUGGAACAGAUAUGCAGAGGUUUGAGCCAAAUGCUUGCUGCAUUCUCUGGUCAGCCCUAAUAAUGUAAAGUCAGAUAUAGGGGGCGGGGGAAAGCUGGCAAGAUUUCAUUCAUGAAUUUAUAAUGAAUUGUCUUUGGAAGAUGAUGGAUAAUUCAGUGGGUCAUCUAGGACACUGCUGGCUCUAAAAAUCAGCACUGCUGAUGGCUUGGGUUUCCAUCACUAGAAUCUGUAUCAUGUUUAAGUGGUGUAUUUAAGGCAGUGUUGAAUUUUUGUGGGACGUGUUCAGCUCAAAAUUUGUGCUGAAAGAGUAAAAUUUUUGGUUCAAGCUGUAAUCAAAAUUAAUGGAAAACCCUUAAGAGUUGCAGUUGCUUCUGCCUGCAUCUUUUGCCAUGAUUUCCUCUGUGCUCAUCCCCCUGUUGUAUUUUAUGCUGGCUCCCCUUAACUACUAUUUUGAGUGGCCAGAGGAGGUUGCACUUUAGAUAAAUUUUUGGAAGAGCCUGGGGUGGGAUUUUUGGAUGUAAUAAUGACCCCUCCUCAACUUCCGCCUGUAAUUUGAGCAUUAAACACCUGUGCAUUAAAAACAAGCAGAUACAUUACAACCAGAUGUUGUAAGGCAGGUUUGUUGAACUAUGGACAGAUCCACAACCUACAAAGAAUCCUGGGAACUUUAAUUCAUUAUGUGUGCUGAGAAAUGUAGCUUUCUUUUGGAGGGGGCAGACUACAAUUCCCAUAAUUCUUUAGGUGAAGCUACAUGAUUUAAAUGUGUGUUGUAUGUACUUUAAAAUGUAUGGUGUGAGGUUACCCUGCAUAUUUUAUAUUAUUGGAAGGUACCUUGUGAGAACUGGAACAGGUGUUCUGGUUCUCUCAUGUGGAUGAAAAAUGAGAACACUCGUUUCUGCCAAAGGCUUUAAUGCAUAAGUCAGUUUGAUACAUAAGUUACGAGGCAUGGAUUAAGCAGGUGCAUCAGAGGCUAAGAAACAUGGCUGAGCAUUAGCAAAGACAUUGAUCCAACACAUGGCAUGCCCCCUGCACCUUCCUUUUGAAGCUCAGGGUGGGCACAGCUAAUUGUGUGGCAAAUGGCUGGGUUCCUGAGACUGGGCAAUUAAGCGAUGUCUCCUUCAGGUGGAUUGGCUUUGUGAAGUUUGUUUGUGCCAGUGCUGGCAUCACUGUGGGGAUGAGACAGAAUCAGAGCCAGAUCAUAUCUCCUCUUUGAUACCCCCUCCAAAGGCGAAACUGGAGGCCAGCCGCAUAGUGUGAGCUCUUGGCAUCAGCGGACGAAGGAUGGAGUGCAGAGGGUGAAGGAUCCCACCGCGGCACACCAGUUUUCAUCUCUGACUUCAUCAAAGCGACCCUGCACCACACUGGAGACAAGCAGGGUCAUGCUGCGCCGCCUGCCCGCCUGUGCAGGGAGGAGCCCACCCAGGCGACAUGGCACUUGGUGGGUGAAAACCAGGACCCCCUUGGCAGUGCCCCCAGCAUGGCCUGGCCCAGCACUGCUCUCCAUGAGUGUUGUUUCCUCUGAUGCUGAGACUGGGCUGCGUUGGUUUUUUGACAGCAAUCAAAUCAAAAACUAAAAAUGAAUGGCAAUGCUUUGAUGAUUAUAUGGCAAAAUAUUGCUCUAGAAAAGACAUGCUAAUAUGCUUAGAUUAAGAAUGUAAAUGCAUCAAAACAAUAAAUUAUCAAUGACAUAUGUAUGGAUAUAGAGAAAAUAAAAACAAUCAGAAUGCAAUGAUAAGGGUAAAAUUGAUGCUAGAGAAGACGAGUAGCGGUGGAGGGAAGCGAAACAGGGUGGUGGGUUUAUUUUAUUUUAUGUUUUUUCUUUUUCUUUUUUGGAUAUUGUAUAAUGAUUUGAUGUAUAAUGAUUUAAUGUUUCUUUUCUGUUAUGUAUUAUUUCUCUUUUUUAAAAAUUAAAUUGUAUGGUGGAAAAAUCUAAAUAAAAAGACAAAAAGACAAAAAAACCUGGGCUGCGUUGGGGGCAUCUGCCGGGGGUGCCUGCUUCAUGGCCCAAGGCCAUGGCCCCACUGACACCCCCUGUGCUACCCUGCUGCUGGAGACAACUCUGUGACAGGAGGCUUUAGGCUUGGAACAGCCAACGUCUUAG